ACCUGGUUAAAUAAAGGUGAAAUAAAAAAAUAUAUAUAUAUAUGUUUUUAAAUUUAACUGUAGAUUGAAGAAUCUAUAUCAUGUCAAAUACAUAGUAAAACAUAUGGUCAUGAAAUAUAUUUACUGGUUACAGUGUCCUGCUUUCUAGGGCAGGGGAGCGAGUAGCAGCAGACAUGGGGUCGUUGUCCUGUUGGAAGGUGAACCUUCGCCCCAGUCUGAGGUCCUGAGUGCUCUGGAGCAGUUGGUGAGAGCCCUCGGCUCUGGGGCCCGUGUUUUCGAGUACCUGUCUUUGGAGCGCCCAUUUCCACGGACAGGGUGCAGCCGCAUCCCUGACAAAUCUCUGACAGGAUGGGUGUACUUCAUGAAAGUCACCUUCA